rnacentral:rRNA from 1 species
GACGAACGCUGGCGGCGUGCUUAACACAUGCAAGUCGAACGGAAAGGCCCUGCUUUUGUGGGGUGCUCGAGUGGCGAACGGGUGAGUAACACGUGAGUAACCUGCCCUUGACUUUGGGAUAACUUCAGGAAACUGGGGCUAAUACCGGAUAGGAGCUCCUGCUGCAUGGUGGGGGUUGGAAAGUUUCGGCGGUUGGGGCUGGACUCGCGGGUUAUCAGCUUGUUGGGGUGGUAGUGGCUUACCAAGGCUUUGACGAGUAGCCCGCCUGGGAGGGUGACCGGCCACCUUGGGCCUGAGAUACGGACCAGAAUCCUACCGGCGGCAGUAGUGGGGAAUCUUGCACAAUGGGCGGAAGCCUGAUGCAGCAACGUCGCGUGCGGGAUACCGGCUUAUGGGGUGUAAACAAAUUUCGAAUGUGCCGAAGCGUGAGUGACGGUAAUUGGUCAAAAAGCACCGGCUAACUACGUG